GUAGAUCUGUGCGGAAUGGAUAAGUGCUGAAAGCAUCUAAGCAUGAAGCCCCCCUCAAGAUGAGAUUUCCCAUAGCGUAAGCUAGUAAGAUCCCUGAAAGAUGAUCAGGUUGAUAGGUUCGAGGUGGAAGCAUGGUGACAUGUGGAGCUGACGAAUACUAAUAGAUCGAGGACUUAACCAUAUAA
rnacentral:rRNA from 1 species